AGAAAUCCCAGCAAAUCCAUUGUUUGUAAGAUUUCCUAGCAAAUCCAUUGUUCAAGCUUAAUAAGAGGGAAAUGAGAGGAGAGAGGCGAGGUUUUGUUUCAUAAACGGUUUUUUUCUUUCUCUCUCUCGAAACCUCUCUGUCUCGACCGAAACGGCUAUUCGUCUCCAUCAAGCAAUCCUCUCUCUCUCUCUCUCUCUCUCUCUCUCAGCAUCGCAGAGGCGAUGAACGUUCGUGAGAUUGAGAGCGACAUCGAAAGUGACGCAGGGAGAGAGAUUAAACUGACUACUUGCACGGGAGGGAAUCAAUGCAGAGCAAUUGUCUCGUGAUCUAAGGUCAUUCGAGUUGAAGAGACGUUUGUUGGUCUUGACUUGGACUGAGAAAUGAUGAAUGUUUCUGCAAAUCAGUAUCAAGCACACAAGAAACAGAUGGUCACUUGGAAACAAAAGUGGUUCCUAACUCGAACUAUGUAGUGCCUUUGGACAAGUUCUCGUCCUCUUCCUCCAUCACUCGUCCUCUAAUUUACCGAACCUUCCUAGUACAAGAUACAACCAAUUUUCUCCAAAUUUUUCAAAUAUAAUAUACGUAUUGUCACUUGUACAUAUCUAGAAUAUGCAUAGAUAGUCUCAUUUACGGGCAUGCGCUUAAGAAUGCCCUAAUUCUAACAGUACAACAGCAAAUAUUUAAUGUGCUCAAAGCGUUAAAGAAUACUUAUAAAAUCUAAAUAUUUUGAUUUUCUUAAAUGUAAAUUUUAUUUUACAUCUAUAAAUACAUAGGU